GAUGAACGCUAGCGACAGGCCUAACACAUGCAAGUCGAGGGGCAGCACAUGCGUAGCAAUACAAUGGUGGCGACCGGCGCACGGGUGAGUAACACGUAUGCAACCCACCUGUAAGAGGGGAACAACCCGGAGAAAUUCGGACUAACACCGCAUAAUACCUCGAAGCUGCAUGGCUUUGAGGUUAAAUAUUUAUAGCUUACAGAUGGGCAUGCGUAACAUUAGAUAGUUGGUGAGGUAACGGCUCACCAAGUCAACGAUGUUUAGGGGUUCUGAGAGGAAGGUCCCCCACACUGGUACUGAGACACGGACCAGACUCCUACGGGAGGCAGCAGUGAGGAAUAUUGGUCAAUGGGCGAGAGCCUGAACCAGCCAAGUCGCGUGAAGGAAGAAGGUUCUAUGGAUUGUAAACUUCUUUUGUAAGGGAAUAAAAAAGCUUACGUGUAGGCUAUUGUAUGUACUUUACGAAUAAGGAUCGGCUAACUCCGUGCCAGCCGCCGCCGUAA
rnacentral:rRNA from 1 species